rnacentral:rRNA from 1 species
UACGUAGGGUGCGAGCGUUGUCCGGAAUUAUUGGGCGUAAAGGGCUCGUAGGCGGUUUGUCGCGUCGGGAGUGAAAACCCAGGGCUUAACUCUGGGCUUGCUUUCGAUACGGGCAGACUAGAGGUAUGCAGGGGAGAACGGAAUUCCUGGUGUAGCGGUGAAAUGCGCAGGUAUCAGGAGGAACACCGGUGGCGAAGGCGGUUCUCUGGGCAUUACCUGACGCUGAGGAGCGAAAGUGUGGGGAGCGAACAGG